GACGAACGCUGGCGGCGUGCUUAACACAUGCAAGUCGAACGGAAAGGCCCUGCUUUUGUGGGGUGCUCGAGUGGCGAACGGGUGAGUAACACGUGAGUAACCUGCCCUUGACUUUGGGAUAACUUCAGGAAACUGGGGCUAAUACCGGAUAGGAGCUCCUGCUGCAUGGUGGGGGUUGGAAAGUUUCGGCGGUUGGGGAUGGACUCGCGGCUUAUCAGCUUGUUGGUGGGGUAGUGGCUUACCAAGGCUUUGACGGGUAGCCGGCCUGAGAGGGUGACCGGCCACAUUGGGACUGAGAUACGGCCCAGACUCCUACGGGAGGCAGCAGUGGGGAAUAUUGCACAAUGGGCAGAAGCCUGAUGCAGCAACGCCGCGUGCGGGAUGACGGCCUUCGGGUUGUAAACCGCUUUCGCCUGUGACGAAGCGUGAGUGACGGUAAUGGGGAAAGAAGCACCGGCUAACUACGU
rnacentral:rRNA from 1 species